rnacentral:miRNA from 1 species
AGACACUAUACGAGUCAUAU